GUCCAAAACCAGCCCACCCCUUUUUUUGUUUUUUCCUCUCUUUUCUCUCAUCUCCAUCAACCCCAUCGGUCCUGAAACCUUGCACAAAAUCGUACAAGGUCACUCAAAUCAACAAAAAAACAUUGAUCAUGUCUCUUUCAACUGAGAAUCCCGCCGGGUUUUCCCUUUUCCUCACCACAAUUUGAAUCCCGACCCACGAAACCCUAGACCAAAGGAUGCAAACGAGAAUAUAAUCAUUUUUCUCUCAUGGUCGUUCAAAUCAACACAUGCAAGCUUUGAAUCUUGACCGUAUCAUCACGAUUCUUGGUCCAAAGGUCAAACGCAGUGACCUUUGGACAUGGGCUUUGACUGAUGGUCUUGUGGUCUCCAACGGUCGAUUCUCUUCACCAUUUUCGUGCCAAGGUAAAAGCUCCACUCUGUUUUACCUCUGUUUUUACCCUUUUUGUCUCAUCAGCAACUCAAUCGUCACACCCCACUAUCUAUGUGAAUCCAAACGGAGCCUUAAGGAUUCAAUGUUACUAUAAAUAGAGCCUUUAAUGCUCUCACCACACACAAAGAGAAGAACUACUCUAAAAUCUGAGCAAAUACCACUGAUUUCAGUAUUCUAUAAUUCUUCUCUAACUUCUUUUCUUUCAUUUCUGCUCGAGUUCGACUACUGCGAACUGACUGUGAGAUUGGGUUCAUAAACGGCUAUUAACUAUCUCUAAUUGGUUUGUUGCUCCGAAGAAGGUUCAGGAAACGGAGCCGCUUCUUGGUCAUCUGCUGAAAUUGUUAAAAUGGCAUGGCGUAGCCAUUUUUACGGUUGACUAUCGAAAAAUAGCCACCAUCGCAGUGUACGGAUUUCGCUUUCGUGAGAGCACUUUUCUUCGAAUCUUGUCUAGGUUAGGUCCAAUUUUCUUCAAAAUUAUCUGGAAAUGGAAUCUUCAAGUAGGUUAUUGAAGAGGGUAUCUGCCAAAGUUGAAGACAUUAUACGUGCAGACAUUAAAGUUGAAGUUUUUAAACUGGAUGUGUAUAAUAAAGUAUAUUUUGCUGGAUUUGAAGCUAUUUAUAUUGAUAUGUUACGUUUAAUAUAAUCCAACAUAUUAGUUGAAUUUAUUUUGAUUGCUCCCUAUAAAUUAUGCUGGAAAUGUUACUUGUGAAGUGUUAUAAGCCAGUAUAUUAUAAUGGAGAGAAGUGUAAAAUAGGUAUCUAGAACAAUUUACUGGAGUUAAAUAAUUUAAAAUUUUGUUUCCUGUA